AAUAAUAUAACUUUCAUUAUAUUUAUUUAUCACGAAACAUAUAUAUAUAUAUAUAUAUAUAUAUAUAUAUAUAUAUAUAUAUAUAUAUAUANGAUCAACUCUUUUCAUUAUUUCUAACCAUUGGAUUAAAUACUAUAACCCAGUGGGGACCACUCAACCCUAGGGGAACCACUCAACUCUAACUGACUAAUAUCAUCCUAACCCUACAAUUUUUCAUCCAAAGGCUAAAAACUUGAUAGCAAAAAGAGGGUUUU
rnacentral:lncRNA from 1 species